rnacentral:rRNA from 1 species
CCUACGGGUGGCAGCAGUGGGGAAUAUUGCGCAAUGGGGGGAACCCUGACGCAGCCAUGCCGCGUGAAUGAAGAAGGCCUUCGGGUUGUAAAGUUCUUUCGGUGAUGAGGAAGGUGAUAAGGUUAAUACCCUUAUUAAUUGACGUUAGUCACAGAAGAAGCACCGGCUAACUCCGUGCCAGCAGCCGCGGUAAUACGGAGGGUGCGAGCGUUAAUCGGAAUAACUGGGCGUAAAGGGCACGCAGGCGGAUUUUUAAGUGAGGUGUGAAAGCCCCGGGCUUAACCUGGGAAUUGCAUUUCAGACUGGGAAUCUAGAGUACUUUAGGGAGGGGUAGAAUUCCACGUGUAGCGGUGAAAUGCGUAGAGAUGUGGAGGAAUACCGAAGGCGAAGGCAGCCCCUUGGGAAUGUACUGACGCUCAUGUGCGAAAGCGUGGGGAGCAAACAGGAUUAGAUACCCCUGUAGUC